AACGUAGGUGGCGAGCGUUAUCCGGAAUUACUGGGCGUAAAGCGUGCGCAGGCGGUUUUUCAAGUUCAGAGGUGAAAGCCCCGGGCUCAACCCGGGAAUGGCCUUUGAGACUGGAUGGCUAGAGUGUGAGAGAGGUGAGUGGAAUUCCCAGUGUAGAGGUGAAAUUCGUAGAUAUUGGGAAGAACACCCGUGGCGAAGGCGGCUCACUGGCUCGCAACUGACGCUCAUGCACGACAGCGUGGGGAGCAAACAGG
rnacentral:rRNA from 1 species